CCUACGGAGGGCUGCAGUGGGGAAUAUUGGACAAUGGGCGAAAGCCUGAUCCAGCCAUGCCGCGUGUGUGAAGAAGGCCUUCGGGUUGUAAAGCACUUUCAGUGGGGAAGAAAGCCUUGGGGCUAAUACCCUCGAGGAAGGACAUCACCCACAGAAGAAGCACCGGCUAACUCCGUGCCAGCAGCCGCGGUAAUACGGAGGGUGCGAGCGUUAAUCGGAAUUACUGGGCGUAAAGCGCGCGUAGGCGGUCUGAUAAGCCGGUUGUGAAAGCCCCGGGCUCAACCUGGGAACGGCAUCCGGAACUGUCAGGCUAGAGUGCAGGAGAGGAAGGUAGAAUUCCCGGUGUAGCGGUGAAAUGCGUAGAGAUCGGGAGGAAUACCAGUGGCGAAGGCGGCCUUCUGGACUGACACUGACGCUGAGGUGCGAAAGCGUGGGUAGCAAACAGGAUUAGAUACCCCGGUAGUC
rnacentral:rRNA from 1 species